UACGGGGGGGGCAAGCGUUGUUCGGAAUUACUGGGCGUAAAGGGCUCGUAGGCGGCCAACUAAGUCGGAUGUGAAAUCCCCAGGCUUAACCUGGGAACUGCAUCCGAUACUGGAUGGCUUGAAUCCGGGAGAGGGAUGCAGAAUUCCAGGUGUAGCGGUGAAAUGCGUAGAUAUCGGGAGGAACACCGGUGGCGAAGGCGGUCUUCUGGACGGUGACUGACGCUGAGGCGCGAAAGCGUGGGGAGCAAACGGG
rnacentral:rRNA from 1 species